rnacentral:rRNA from 1 species
GAUGAACGCUGGCGGCGUGCCUAAUACAUGCAAGUCGAGCGAACGGACGAGAAGCUUGCUUCUCUGAUGUUAGCGGCGGACGGGGGAGUAACACGUGGAUAACCUACCUAUAAGACUGGGAUAACUUCGGGAAACCGGAGCUAAUACCGGAUGAUAUUUUGAACCGCAUGGUUCAAAAGUGAAAGACGGUCUUGCUGUCACUUAUAGAUGGAUCCGCGCUGCAUUAGCUAGUUGGUAAGGUAACGGCUUACCAAGGCAACGAUGCAUAGCCGACCUGAGAGGGUGAUCGGCCACACUGGAACUGAGACACGGUCCAGACUCCUACGGGAGGCAGCAGUAGGGAAUCUUCCGCCAUGGGCGAAAGCCUGACGGAGCAACGCCGCGUGAGUGAUGAAGGUCUUCGGAUCGUAAAACUCUGUUAUUAGGGAAGAACAUAUGUGUAAGUAACUGUGCACAUCUUGACGGUACCUAAUCAGAAAGCCACGGCUAACUACGUG